UCCAGAAUAGCUCAGUGGUAGAGCAUUCGGCUUCGGACCGAAAGGGCGCAGGUUCAACUCCUGCUUCUGGAACCC
rnacentral:tRNA from 1 species